AGACACCGAAGCACAGAGGGGUUUGGUAACUUGUUGAAGGAUACACAGCUAAUGUAGAGGACUUGAACCCAGCAGACUGACCCAGAUGCUUUCUUCUGCCAUAUCAGCCAUUUAGCCGGUCCUUUCCAGAAACCCUUCCCGUUAUCGGGGGACAUCCUUUACCCUUCCCACCUGCCCUCCGGAGGCUUCCCUCUGAACCCACUUCUGUAACCAGAGUUCCCCAUCCUUGGGACUUCACAGUCAAUCGUCCUGUGUGCUGCUCUCAUUAUCCCGGUGCUGCAGGUGGGGAAACUGAGGCAAGGAGCAGGGCGAUCACACCUGCCCCAGGCUGGAAAGCCGGAGAUCUGGGUCAAACUCAGGCUGUCUGAUCCAGAAAACCAUGCUCCCCUACUGGUCUUCAUACUUCGUCCUAGCAUGGCCGGCCUGCUAUCAACACCCGGGUUCCCCAGCGCCUCACUGUAAGAUCAAGGAAGGGAGGCUUGGCGGAGUGGAGUGGCUUUCCCAGGGGUGAGUAGAGACCUGAGAUCGGAACCCAGCCUGUAAUCCAAAGGUCUGUGCCGGGGCCUGGGGGUGAGAGAGAGGCGCUCCCACCUCCCAGCACUGGGAGGAUGAGCAGUGGGGCCGAUCAGGAGUCUCUCCCACCAGGACACCCAGAGAUUCUGGAUAAAACAUUGUACGGAGCCUUGUAAGGGGAUGACUAGGCUGGCAGAAUUGAAGGGAAAUACCUCUUCAGGGGCUACUGGCUGGGGGUGGUCUAGUAGCUAGGUUGAGCCUGACUCUUGACCCCGUGGACUGUAGCCAGCCAGGCUCCUCUGUCCAUGGGAUUUCCUCGGCAAGAAUACUGAAGUGGAUAGCCAUUUUCUUCUACAGGGUAUAAUUCCCUGUGCU
ensembl:lncRNA